ensembl:snoRNA
GGGGUCUGCUCAGGGGCCUGAAAAAUGGCUCCUAUGUUUAUAACACACCCAGUAGGAAUCUGGAGUCAUUGUGAUGAGAGGCACACAACUCAUAUGGGUCCUCCCUAUGAACAAAUUCCCUACAUCU